UACGUAGGGUGCAAGCGUUGUCCGGAAUUAUUGGGCGUAAAGAGCUCGUAGGCGGUCAGUCGCGUCUGCUGUGAAAACUCGGGGCUUAACUCCGGGCCUGCAGUGGGUACGGGCUGACUAGAGUGCGGUAGGGGAGAUUGGAAUUCCUGGUGUAGCGGUGGAAUGCGCAGAUAUCAGGAGGAACACCGAUGGCGAAGGCAGAUCUCUGGGCCGUAACUGACGCUGAGGAGCGAAAGCAUGGGGAGCGAACAGG
rnacentral:rRNA from 1 species